rnacentral:rRNA from 1 species
UUGGAGGGCAAGUCUGGUGCCAGCAGCCGCGGUAAUUCCAGCUCCAAUAGCGUAUAUUAAAGUUGUUGCAGUUAAAAAGCUCGUAGUUGAAUUUCGGGGUUCUACCGUUGGUCGGGCUUUGUCUGUACUGGUGUGUAGAAUUUCUACCUUCUGGGGAACCAUCAUGCUAUUAAUUUAGCGUGGUGGGAAACCAGGACCUUUACCUUGAAAAAAUUAGUGUGUUCAAAGCAGGCUUAUGUCUGAAUACAUUAGCGUGGAAUAAUAGAAUAGGACGGUGGUCCUGUUUUGUUGGUUUCUGAAUCACCGUAAUGAUUAAUAGGGAUAGUUGGGGGCAUUAGUAUUCAAUUGUCAGAGGUGAAAUUCUUGGAUUUAUCGAAGACUAACUUCUGCGAAAGCAUUUGCCAAGGAUGUUUUCAUUAAUCAAGAACGAAAGUUAGGGGAUCGAAGACGAUCAGAUACCGUCGUAGUCUUAACCAUAAACUAUGCCGACUAGGGAUCGGACGAUGUUAAUUUUUCUUGACUCGUUCGGCGCCUUACGGGAAAC